rnacentral:rRNA from 1 species
AACGAGCGCUGGCGGCAGCCUUAACACAUGCAAGUCGAGCGCGCCUUCGGGUGAGCGGCGGACGGGUUAGUAACGCGUGGGAACGUGCCCUUCUCUACGGAAUAGCCUCUGGAAACGGAGAGUAAUACCGUAUACGCCCCUUGGGGGAAAGAUUUAUCGGAGAAGGAUCGGCCCGCGUUAGAUUAGGUAGUUGGUGGGGUAACGGCCUACCAAGCCUACGAUCUAUAGCUGGUUUUAGAGGAUGAUCAGCAACACUGGGACUGAGACACGGCCCAGACUCCUACGGGAGGCAGCAGUGGGGAAUCUUAGACAAUGGGGGCAACCCUGAUCUAGCCAUGCCGCGUGAGUGAUGAAGGCCUUAGGGUCGUAAAGCUCUUUCGCCUGUGAUGAUAAUGACAGUAGCAGGUAAAGAAACCCCGGCUAACUCCGUG